rnacentral:lncRNA from 1 species
UAUCUUGCGAAGGGUGGCCGAUUUGGAUUUAUGCAAUCUGCUGAGAAAGGAUGCAAUGAUCCAAUCAAAUGCUAUGGCUAAGUCCUUAACCAUCAUUUAGAGGCAAACAUCGUCCUAGGUUAAUUAUUCUUGUCCUGAGACUAUACCUGUUUAUAUUGAUAAACCUAAGCUUUUGUGUGCUAGGCUAUGUUGUGAGUGCUAUAUGUGCUUAGCUUCUAGGAUACAGAUAUCUAGUUACCUAAACGUGUUUGAUGGCCGCGUGCUCUACUGUUUGUGUAAAGGUAGUUUGGGCAGAAUGGUUGGUAUAUGAGAAAUAAAGUUUUUCUAUAGUUUAUUUUGCUCUUCUAGUAGGCUGAUCAUAAAAUUUUGCGGUUAGCAUCAGGAUUGUUUACUAGUAGCAGGUUCUGCGUAUGAGUAAACUUUUUUUUCUUUCCUUAGAAAUAAAAAAGUAAAAAUCAAGAAAUAAGCUGUAUUCGAAGGCAUCUCAUCUCCCCAUUUGUUGGGAUUGGAUUAGUCAAUAUACGUCUAAGUUAUUCUGAACAUUUAUGGUAAUAAAAAAAAAUUCUUAAAUUAUUAAUUAUAGUUAUCAAAUCUUUGCUCUAAAAAGAUAAAAACUCAUCAAAUGGGAGGAUAAAACUAGGGUAUUGAUAGAGAAAACAAGUAAGAAACAAAGUCAAAUUCAUAGAACAAUGGAAGAAGAAAGAGAAAGAAAGAUAAGAGUUUGUUUACCAAUGAUAUUGUGAGAACAUCACAGACAAUAGCUAGGGUUUUUAACUUGGAGAGGACGAUCGAGAGAUUGUUUAUCAAAGUAGAUAAUAUAUAUAUUUUGCUAUCCAGCCUAUCAAUUUUCUAUUAUUUGUUUUUUCUAACCAAGAAUUUCCAAAGGAAGUAUCCUUGCUGAUGCUUCCGCUUCCGUGCACACUUAAAGGGCCUCGUUUUCUGAUUUCGGCCUGCUUCAUCUGGGCUACGUAAUUUUGAUGUACUUGUACUUUGGUCUUGAUGAGCUUUUAUAAAUGUAGGGCUUUUGUCCUGAUUAAUGAGAUUCAUUAUGAUGAACAAAAAAAAAAAGACCCUGACAUACAUGAAAUGUUUCUUGAUUUCAUAAAUAGAGUUAUUCCAUGAUAUAAAUUAUUUGAUUGCAAAAUGUUGAAAAUUCCAAAAAUAGGCUCUUAUUUAUUAACAUGGUGGUGGGGAGAUUGAUUUGAUAAUUUUGAGUUUGUCUUUUAAAAAAAAAUUGAGUUCAUAUUAUUUUGUAAAUACUUAAAAGACAAAAUAGUGAAAUAUCGGAGAAAAAUAAAAGUUAACAAUCUCUUAAAAACAUUAUGUUAUGUUGAUUUAUUUUAAUUUUAAAUGGUCAUAUAAAAAUCUUUCUAAUGAUAGAGUAAAGAAAAUGUUGAUGUUUAUUGUUUAAAGUGAAAGAAAGAUGGAGGAUUUCGACAACAUUAGGAAAGGCAAUGGCAAAAAAGUCUUGUAUUGAGGAAUUAGCAAUAGCCAGUUGGGCAAUUGGAGAAUGCAAUGAAGCAGGUGGCUGAGAAGCAUUGGUAGAAUCCAAUUUCACCUAAUUUGCUACUAUUAUGACAACUCUAUUCUAUUUUUUUAAUUAAAAAACUACUGUAUAAAUAUAUAUUUUUUAUCUAUAAAUCAAACUAAUUUUUUUUACACAAAAGUGCUGUCAAUGUAUUUUUUUUAUAUGAGAAAAACUUAAUUGCAAAUAAAAAACAAAUUGAGAAUUAUGUGCUGAUAAAUAUCAGAAAAAAAAUUGUUAACGCUAUAUCCUAAAUAGGAUCUUAAAUUAAUUCCAUAAUAGAAAAAUAUAAUAAUGUUAUGGAUAUGUUUGAUCGUAUCAUAAUUUUUUUUAUUGAGAAACAUAAAUUUUUUUUUUAUACUUAAUAAAAAUUUUAAAAAUAUAUGAACCGAUAAAUCAAGAAAGAGUUGAUGCUAAUUGAAUAUUAUAGAAAUAUAGAUUUAUUAAUUUAUAAAUAAUUCCUAGAAAAUGUGUUCAUUAGAGAAAAAUAUUAUAUAAAAGUUAAUACUAUGCAGAGUACGUAUGAAGAAAACUAAUAUUUAAGAAUUUAUGAAAUACUUUAGUAAAUAAUCAUGCAGUUUGCAUAUGCUGUAUCAAACAACUUCUAUACUUCAACUGGAAAAGUAAAUCACUGUCAUUUUCACUAAUUUUACUGUGUACAACCGAUUCAUAAUUGAGUCCACAACACGUUCUACUCAUAUUCAGAAAUUUAACUAUGAUUUCUUUGCCCGUCAGGACUAUGCAAACACAGCAUUGACAUCAACUUUCCCUCUCAAGCUUAAAUUCCAACCCAAUUUUGGUGCCAUGAGAAACAAGAUAUAAAACCAGUGGGGACGUAAAUGUCACGAUAUUCCUUUUCUUGCCAACCUCAUCCACCAAAAGAGAGAAAGCAGCAUUAAUUAGAUGUCUCAUUACAAGUUAGACAAAUUUAUUUAUGUUUCAACUCUCAAUUAUCCCUAAUAAUUACUCACGUCCCACCUUUGAUAUGCAAUCACUUGUCGAAUCCAAUUAUCUGUUGGAACAUCUCUGUCAUGAUUUUGAUGUUAAGACAAAACCAUGGGUUUACUACAAUAAUUAUUAAAAAAACUAAUAAAUUAGGAGUUAUAAUGAUGUCUAACUACUGCUCCAACCACAAAAAUCUAUAUAUAACUUGGACAUCCAUACUCAAGCAAGGACUGUGCGAGAGUCAUGGGCAAGAACCUGGCUUUUGAGAAUACCAUAACUAUGGAGGAAUUGAUCUGGUCGCAUGCAGUUAUAAAAAGACAUGAAUCCUUUUCCUUAGAUGGGAAAGAUGUUUGUGGCAUGGAUGGUAUGGAUAAUGUGCUGGAGGUUGAUGUGAGGGAGGAAGUAGCACGCGAAAGACUUAAUUUGUUCUUAUGAAGAUAGUACACUGGUGGGUUCUGUACCAGAUGUUUCUUACUCGAAACCCUGAACCCUCCAAAGCCACCAUAAGAGAGCAGAGUCCUAGUGAGGUAAGGUUGCUAUGGAGGAUGAGGCAAUUUCCAUGGUGGAAAAAACACAGUUAAUUUAUGAUCCAGGAGGCCAAGAAAGCUUCUCAUGUUGAUGCGCGGGGUUAUGGUUUGUCAUAACGAUUCCGAUGCCUCUAUUGAUCAGAUUUGAGCUAUACAAGGUUGUUUGGAUAUUUUUGUGAUGCUUCCGGCCGGUGAUCAGAAUGUGAGUGGUCCUACGACCAAAAUCUUUUUCUUCCCUAAUGAAUCUCAGCAUGUUGCCAGCCACUUCUGUUGUUAAAGAGAGUGGUUUUUCUUGCUAGGAACACUGAUUUUAGGAGAUAUCUUGUGGUGCCCUUGCUUCACCAGCGAGCAACCAAGUACACGUUCUGUCACAUUGUUGAUUAAGACAAGUGAAGAUUAGCCAGAUGGAAAGUGGACAGAUUUUCGUUGGCAGGGAGGAUAUCUCUUUCCUAACCAGUUCUGCAAGCCAUGCUGAUCAUGUAUACAGUGCAUUUUGCUAACCUUCCCAAAGGCACUGGUGAGGAUAUUGAGGAGAUUUGCAAGAGUUUUACGUGGGGAAUGAGGAAAAUCUUACUCAUACUUCGCAAACCAAAUAAAAAAAACUUAAUAAGUCUUAAUUCUAUAUAAAAAAAUUAAGAUUUUAAUGUCAUUAUUAGGUAAUAAAUACUAAUAUUCCUAAAUAAUACUAAAACACUAAAUAAUCAUACAAUGCUAAAAUUCCCUAGUGGACAGAUAAUAUGUAUAUCAUUGUUUGAAAAGCUAGGGAGAUGCAUAAAGACACCCUCUUACAUAGUAGUAAACUUGGAAAGAAAACAAAAAAAGCAAUAAAAUCGUUUGACACGCUAUACAAAGGGAAGGUAGGAGGUGGUGUCUUAUAAAACACAGCUAAUUACACACAACAACCAAAGUAAACCAAGCAAGAACGGCAGAAUUAGCAGAGACUGCAGUGAUGCCUAAGGUCAUAACUUUCCUCUCUUCUCUUCUUCAAAGAGUAGCAGAAUCUAAUGAUAUUAGCCAUCAGUUAUACCCCCAGAAAGCCUCAAUCUUUCAUGGCCUAACCAGACCUACGUACUAUAUCCAUUCAAAACUAUCUUGAGAGAAUCUUCAAGUAUUCAAAUUGUAGCCCCUCUUGUUUUGUUGUUGCUUAUGCGUAUCUUGAUCGGUUUUCUCAGAGACAAUCCUGUUUUCCUCUCAAUUCUUUCAAUGUGCAUAGAUUGCUCAUCACAAGUGUCCUGGUCUCUGUCAAGUUCAAGGAUGAUAUGUAAGUAAUCUUCAGAAUCCAGUUCUUGAGCUACGUUCCUUUUGAUCUUUAAUUUAGUUUUUAUUUUAUUUUUUAUAUAUAGUUGUUCUUUUUGAUCUGGGAUCAACUUUGAUAAGUGGAUUCAAGUUUGAUGAUCCAACUAAUGAGUAUAUAUUUUUCUCUUCAUCAAAGAUAAUGGAUAGCAGUCCUGGUACAAGGAUUCUUGACUGGAAUCUUUCCUUUUCUUUAUUUUACCUUGAUGACAUUCAACUCUGAAAUGUUAAAAGACAUUAAAGGGUAGGUUAGGCCUCAAAGUUCAAGUCAUGCCCAAGUUCGAAUUGAAAAAAGAAUUAUUGAUUUUCUUUGUAUUAAAUGAAAUUCCAUGUGAUGGAAAUCUUGCACCUUGCAUCUCAGUUAAGAUCCGAAGCUUAGACUUGUGUAUGAAUUUUCAUUGCUUAAUUGAAAUUAGCCAUGCCAAAUCACGCCAGCAUUUUGAUUUAAGAAGUCAGACUUCAUAUUCCAGUCACAUAGAAUGAUGGCCGGUGAUCCGAUGAGAUCCCAUUAAUUAACCAAAACGCAGUACACAAAACUACGUGCAUAUGGGAUUGGAAAAAAAAUCCCAUCUGAAUCAGCCACAGCCAAGAAAAAGAAGACACCCAUGUGUAAAACUCCAGCUUUGAUUCGACUAUACCACCUAAGUUUGUGGUGUUAUUACUUAUUGCCUCUGUCUGUUUAAGCAUGCCUGUAAAUUCCAUCAAAUUGUAAGCAUGUUUCACUUUCAUCCUAGAGAGGGGUCAGGUCAGUGACAGCUCAAUCAAAGCUCUAUAUUUUGUUUAAAGCCACAGCAUCUAGAAGCAUUUCUUUCCUUUCCUUUCAUUUUUCCUUUUUUGGGCCAUUUAAAAUACUCAGCCCUCUCAGGCCUCGCCUGUUUUUAUUGACUGCCAUUACCCACUGUGCUUUACUGCCAAAAUCAUGGUUGCAGGCUGGUGGUUCAAUUGUUUGUCUGUCAUUCAUUCCAACUGGAAACCAUACAUAAGAUUACUAAUGUAGAUAUGUCUUUGUUUCGUGUUCUUGCCUGGUCAGAUAUUACAACAACGCAUUCUAUGCUAAAGUUGGAGGAAUCAGCACAAGAGAGAUGAAUCUUCUUGAAGUGGAUUUUUUAUUUGGUCUGGGCUUCCAGUUGAAUGUGACACCAGCCACAUUCCACCUCUAUUGCUCUUACCUUCAGAGAGAAAUUUCGAUUCAGUCUCCUCUGCAAAUAGUAGACACUCCUCUAAAUAUCGCAAGACCACUGAAAAUCCAUCGCUGUUUCAAUGAAGAUGAAUCCACUCAUCAAAAACAGCUUUCUGUUUAGAUAAUAUUUAGGAUGGUUAGGAAAGAUGGACCUAAAAAAAACCAGAACUAGUAGACUUUUAGUGGUGCUCGUCAUGUAGGGUCAUGCACAUGUGAGAGCUUGGAUGUUUUCCAUAAGCAUUCUGGUUUGAAAUGAUGGAGUCGAAACUCUCACUUGGCUUCCUAUGAUUUGAGGCACUGCACACAUCUUCAAGCUCAGUUUUUUAGGACACUCGUCGUGUUUCUCCUUUUCUUUUUGGUUGGAAAUUUGCAAAUCAAUGCUAUGUACAGAUGGGCUUUCUGUCCUUACAGUCUGGCUAACAUGAUGUAUAGCUCAAGAUCAAUCUUCCCUGUAAAACAUGACCAGAACUUAACUGUGCCAUGCCCUGUUGCCCAGGUUCCUCAAUGGGACAAGUAAUCCAGGCUUCUAGAGACUGUGAACCACUGCUGACAGAAGCAAUAUCAGUAGAAAACAGAAUCUUGCUUAGCCUUCCAAAUGCAUGGAGAAAAAAUAUAUUGCAAUAGAAGCAUUGCGCAAUCUAUCUAUGCAUAUGUAGGAGACUAAUCAAAUUGAGUUGUGUUGUGAUUUCACUUGUUAACAAUGGUUAAUGACUGUAAGGAAAUUAGCUGGUGUUUAAAGAUUAAAGAGAGAUGUUCAUUUUUUAAUUUCUUGAAUUUUCAUUUUGAGAUUUACAUUCAAAAUAAUUUUAUUCCUUCUAAUGUACUAAUAUAUGUACUAAUAUAGAGAAUGUGUUUUUAAUUUUUUUUUUUAAAUAAAACUAGGAUUGUAUUUGAUUAAUAUUCUAGAUAAAAAAUGAGACAAGAAACAAAAAGUAUUUUAUUGAAAAUAUAAAAACGAGAACAUAAAAUGACUCUAAUAUAAUUUCAAAAUAAAAUUUUAUACUUCUAAAAUAGAAUAUAUAUAUAUAUAUAUAUAUAAAAGAGUUUCCGAUCAUAGUCCAGCACAGUUAAUCUCAAGCAUUGGGCUAGAGCUGUUAUCUUGGUACUGCGGCCCAUUUUUAAUAAAAAGGACCCUAACUUGUAGCCAACCGUACGUCCACAAGAUAUAUAAUAUGCAAAUCUUCUCAUAUAAAUUACCAAGAGGGCCCUAAUUUUAUUUAUUUAUUUAUUUUUCAAGAAAACAGGACCCUAGCUAAAUUAUAAAGGUGUUAAUUCAUGAUUCAGGAAAUAAUUUGAGGCUGCUUCGCUUCUAUUUUAUAAACACUUCUCGCAAGGGAAGGAAGCAGCCUCUGCCUUGGCUAUAACCGCCGCAGUGCUAGUAUAUAAGUAGGGCUUUCGUCAAGGAUAUUGGGGCUUCAUUGUAGCAAUAAGGAUUUCUGAACGUUUGGAGGGAAGCAAGAGGGUUACAUAGCCUUCUAUAGACAAGGGUUUUUUUUUUUUUACUCUAUACGUAUUUUAUUCAAGUUUUAUUGAUGGUUUCUUUAGGUAUUUUAUGUUUUUUUUUUGUUUCGUUGGACUACCUUACCUGUUAAUUAAGUCACCUCGUCGAAAAUUGCCUCAUAAUACAAGUGUUUAUCUAAAGUCAUGUGAGAAGAUCUUAAAGAGGACUGCAGGCCUAGUCAGCGACCUGAAACCUUGGUAGCAGCUUUAACUUGAUGCUUCUCGAUUAAAUUCUUAGCAGCCUACCUCUUAGCCCAACCAAAAAAGCUGGUUUAAUCAAGGUGGCUAUUUCAUAGAAAGUGUAAAUCAUGAUUUUGCUUUUAAUGUAUUAGAUUAAAAGAUUCAUUUUGCAAGUUUAAAGGAGUGGCUAUUAGUUGUAAUUUGUUAUAGGUGAAGAAACUUCAUUGUUAGCAUAUAAUUAUCUCAUGUUGUGACCAAGUUUUUAAACCUUGGCUAAUUUGAUCUGGAAACUGUUUUGUGUUCUAUUUCAAGUGACUUAAGGAUUCACUAAUAUCACUCCUGAUUUAAAACACAGCUUAAAUUCAUUGAAAGUAAUGGAUUAGAAGCGAAAUGUGCUCAAAAGCGGCAUGUUCUUUGAACUGGAGCAUUCGUUUGUCUUUAGACGAAUUCUUUUGAACUAGAUUCCAAUUAUUGAUACCAUUUAACCCAAAAUAAUAAUAGCGUAAUAUUCAAUAAAUCCUUUCAUGAAAGUAACCUCCUAAUAAAAUCUUUUUUUUUUAAAUCCUCUAAAGAAAACCAAACCUCACAAAAUUACCAUCAGGAAUCAUGUCCAAACAAAAAAGAAAACUUCGCCAUCAAGAAAAAGGAUGUCGCACGUGUGCGGCGGUGCGGCGAUCGUCCACCCUCAAGGAUUAAAACGGAAAAUAUUUAUUCCUGGCAAAUAGGGAGAGACAAGAAAAUUCUUGUCUCUACAAGUGAAAAUAUGGACUGGGAGUCGUCACCUAGUAUUCUGGUUACUAGGAACCUUAACUGGUCUUUAGAGAUCGGGUACGGAGACUGGUUGCGUAAAGGAAAGGUAUUAGCACCCCAACUACGCCCUACCUAAGGUAGGCUGCAUUGUUUUAAAUGUCUGAUAAAAUCUAAAAUCGUGUUGUGUUUUUUUUUUAAUUGUUCGGAAUACGCAUUACAUGUAAUGUCAUAUCCCGGGUUCUAUUGUCCAAAAAAAAGAAUUAAAUAUCCGGAAUAUGCAUUACGUGUAAAGUCAUACCCCGGAUACUAAGAGACAAACAAAAUAAAAUUUUUGUUGUUUUUGAAAUAUUGGCCAAUAUUCUCUUGACUUUAAUAAACUGGUUAUUAAAGCCAAAAUGCAUGCUAAAACAUUUUUUUGGUGUAUGAAAAAUACAAUAUGAAUUUUUAGCUUUGAGACACUUGACCGUAUGCACAAAAACAUUUUUUUCUCUUUUUUUUUAAUAUUUUUGUAUUUUUGUGGAAGUUUUUGACGAAAACCGGGUAUUUGAAAAUCAGAUUUUUGUAUUUUUAACAACAUAAAAAAAUACCACCAAAUAUUAAUCAAAAUGACAUAAAAAUUACGCGGAAAAAUUAUAAAAUGCUGAAACAAAUAUUUUUGAUUUUUUUCUUUGAAAUGGGCCGGAUCAGGCCCAAAUAUAUGGGCUGGGCCGAACCUGGCCCAAAGAAUGGGCUGGUUACUGUGCACAUAGUAACCGUGAAUUAAUUAGCGAGUUACUGUGCACAUCACAGUAACUCGCUAAUUAAUCUUCAUCUGCUGCAGAACGUAAACGUUCUGCAUGCAGAUGAAGCUGAACCAAAAAAACGACGGGAAAGGCUACCUGAAGCGGUGGUGAUGUUGGCAACAACUGAUGUGGCAGGGGUGGCGGCGGCGGAACUGGCUGUUCGCGGUGGCCGGCGGUGCUGUUUUCCUCUCUCUCUCUCCUCUGUUUUACUCUCUUCUCUGCUUCUUCUUCUUCUUCUUCUUUUAUUUCGCUCUCUCUCCCUUCUCUUCUGCUUUCUUCUCUCUGUCUCUCCCUUCUCUUCUUUUCCUCCCCCUCUUUUUGUCUUCUCCCUUUCCUUCUCUAUUUAUAGAGCCCGUGAGCAUGUUUUUUUCAUUGUGGAGCCAAGGAACGGGUCAUGCGGCGGCUGGUCGGGCGCGGCUGUCCAGGCGUGCCUCCCUCGAUUUCGGCGGUGCGGUAGGUGGUCGGCCAAUGUCUUCGGUCGGUGGGCUAGAGGGGCCGGCGUCAUUAAAUAUGCAUUCUUUUUCCUUCUUUCCUGCUGUAUGCUCGGUGGGGAAGAAAAGGGAACAGUGCCGUUCAAAACGGCACCGUUUAGCCUUUUUUUUUUUUUUUUAUGGGGACCCAAAAAUGGGUUACAACAGUUGCCCCCCUCUUUACAAUGCUUACGGAGCAAAGAUUUGUGCAUAGUAAGUGUUGUAAAGAAAAAAAAACAUUGGUCUUCCGAAACUGGUCGUCUCAAAAUUUGAUUGACCUAAAACUUCAACCGGACCCAAAGUCCUGUGUAUGGUUGGGCUAAACUGAGAUUCCUUUCGCCAAUCCCCUUUAACCCGAAAAAAAGGAAAGAAUGUGAAGUGUGGUCUCAUUGUAAUGGGUGACCUACCUAGAUAUAAAACAUGGAGAAUUGGUUGCAUUGUAAUGGGUGACCUACCCAGAAAAAUGUUGGUGAGGGCUCAAAGGCGUACUCAAAAGGAGUUGAGGGCUCAAAGGCACACUCAAAAGGAGGUAGGGUUAGAAAACGCACUACCUAAGGGAUGAGGGCUCAAAGGCGCACUCAAAAUGGAGGUGAGGGCUCAAAGGCGCACUCAAAAGGAGUUGAGGGCUCAAAGGCGCACUCAAAUGGAGGUAGGGUUAGAAAACGCACUACCUAAGGGAUGAGGGCUCAAAGGCGCACUAAAAAAGGAGGUGAGGGCUCAAAGGCGCACUCAAAAGGAGGUGAGGGUUCAAAGGCGCACUCAAAGGAGGUAGGGUUAGAAAACGCACUACCUAAGGGAUAGGGCUCAAAGGCACACUCAAAAUGGAGGUGAGGGCUCAAAGGCGCACUCAAAAGGAGUGAGGGCUCAAAGGCGCACUCAAAGGAGGUAGGGUUAGAAAACGCACUACCAAGGGAUGAGGGCUCAAAGGCGCACUCAAAAUGGAGGUGAGGGCUCAAAGGCGCACUCAAACGGAGGUAGGGUUAGAAAACGCACUACCUAAGGGAUGAGGGCUCAAAUGCGCACUCAAAAGGAGGUGAGGGCUCAAAGGCGCACUCAAAAGGAGUGAGGGCUCAAAGGCGCACUCAAAGGAGGUAGGGUUAGAAAACGCACUACCUAAAAGAUGAUGUUGAAACAAUGAUUGUCAAUGUUGAAGAAAUGCAUUAUGAUUGAUAUGCAUGUAUACUUACCUGAGAAAUAUAGGCCCCCAUUUCUUCAUGGUGUCUUUCUUUUCUCUCAAAAGUUGUAGUGUUGGUAGUAAACUUCGAUGGCUUUUCCACUUCUGCUUACUCGGGUUACAUAUUGUGAUCUUGACCUCUGGGAAGGGUUUGAUGUCAUCAUACAUCUUUGUCCUUCACCCUUUAUCUCAAGAGUUACCAAUUUUUUUUGACAUUUUCCUUAGAAAAGGAAUCAUGGAGCCAGCCCUACCAUGUGUUUUUGAUUGCCCCCCAGCUUGAUCAUGCCCCCCAAGUGUUCAACUUGGGUUUAGUUUGGGGUGAGGAUAUGUGAAAGUGGGUUUUUUGGUACAAUGAAAUGUUUUCAUGUAAAAUUUUUGGAACGUCCAAGUUAUUCCAAUCACAAAAAUGAUUUUGAUAUUGGUUCAAAAUAAACUUGUUCUAAAAAUUCAAGUGAUUCCUAUGGACAGGUUUCUUGAAGUGAUGAAAGCUUUUUGCUUUUGGUUUAAAGAUGAAGUGACAUCUGGUUGGUCACAAAAGGUUUAAAUUUCAAUUUGAGGGUUAUUGAGAACCAAAUUGAGUCAAAGCAUUUAUUUUAUUUGCAUGAAUAAUGAUUUGACUCGCACGAGAAAGCACUGCAUAUAUCCAGAUUGCUUGCCUUUGAUCAGAAAGGGCUUUAUCAGGUAUGUAAUGUAGGCUUUGGCUAUUGGUUACGAAGAAAAUGGAUAUGUUGCAGGCUCAAAAGGUGUUUAAGGGAUUUCAAGACUAGGAUCACUUGUGCUUGUUUCCUGACCUUUUGUCUUUUGGAUUUGUUUUUUCAAAAUGAGUCUUCAUGCCCCCCAGUGUCGGGUUUGGGCUUUUCUCUUUGUUUUCUUCGUUUUUGUUUGUUGAGCACAAUCAUAUCAGUUGUUUUAUGAGAAGCUCAAAUCUUUUAAUCCUUUAGAUCUUUCUUUUCUUUUCUUACAUGAUCAAUUCCAGCACCCAUCUUCACUGCUUUGUCUGGAUGGUAAAAAUAACAAACUCUCUUAUUUUGCCCCCCAGUGUGGGGUGUGAUCCUAGUCAAGGUUAUUUCAAAAAAAUAUUACUAGGCUCAAAAUGGGACUGCAAAGGAUAUUUUAGCCUUGUGAAAGGAUUAUCAAAGAUGGCCUUUCCUCAUCUCAAACUCAUGCAUUGAGGAUCGAUAGGUCUUGCUUUCAUGCGCGUAUGCAAAGUGAUUUAUUCAGUCAAAUAAAACUCAGCUUUUGAGUCACCUCAUAGUGUUGUUUGUCUUUAUUGUCUUUUUUUCUUUCAAGUUUUCUAGGUAUAUGUGUACCUAUUUAAGGAAUCACUUGAAUUUUCAAAAUGCAUUUGUUUUGGACAAAUAUCAACACGAUUUUUGUUUUUGUACUCACUUUGGAGGUCCCAAAAAAUAUCCUUGAAAACAUAUGAGAUUAAUGUAUGGGUUUGGAAGAAAGGAACACCAAAGGAUUCUUCAUGUUGUAGUGUUGUGAGCAAAGUUGCGCUCAAAAUGUUAUUUACAUGUAAUAACAACAAAGAAGAGUGUGAUGUGAACACAAGAAAACACAUGAUCUUAUUUCACAAGAGAAGCUCAUUAACAGAGAAAGUCUUAUUCAAAAGCAUUAACAAAAGGAAAUAACAAGGCAGGCUUCAUUCCUCUAUUUUGGCGAAUCUGUUCAUAGGCUAAACUCCUCUCAAAAGCUCUGCGUAGAGGACUCAAAGACAAUGCGGAACAACACCACGGUCAAAAAUUCAAGCUAUCAUGCUGGACCAUUGAUGCUUUCCAAUUCCCCAAACAUUCCAUCCUAAUAUGCUUCAAGCAUGAUUAGGCAGCGGGUUCGUAUUCACAUUGGGGGUGUCUUCCAACUCUAUCCAACCAGCCUUGAUUAAUUGCAGAAGCUUUCUCUUGAAGGCGUUGCAGGUAUAGAUGCUAUGCCCAGUAAUACCGGCAUGGUAUUCACAUUUGAGUUCUGGCUUGUACCAAUUAGGAUAAGGUGGCUGCAGAGGUGUUAGAGGUUCUGGAGCUAUUUGCCCAAUGCUCAAUAGCUUUUGAUACAUCUCAUUCAGGGGUAACGGUAGUGGAGGCAGUUGUUCUUGAACCCUUUGGAAAUUUCCAAUUUGGCUUUUGGCUUGAAAGUUUUGGGGUUUAGGUUUUGGAUGUUGGCAAUUUGGGAUGGAGUAUGGUAAUUUUGGGAUGUAUUAUUUUUACCCAUGUAGCCAUCUUCAACAUGGUGAACCUCUUUUCUUUCGAAGCCUCUUUUCUCGGUUGGUGCAGAAAUUCUACCACUCUUGACACCUUGCUCUAUGCGUUCACACACUAUCACGCAUCAGUGAAUUGUUGGGCUGAACUACCCAUCAUAUGUUCGUAAUAUGGUGCUUUGAGUGUGUUGGCAAAUAAAGAGACCAUCUCUUUGUCCAGAAGUGGGGGAUGUACUUGAGCAGCUAAUUCUCGCCAUCUUUGAGCAUAUUCCCUUAUGCUUUCUUUAUCCUUUUUCUCUAUAUUGGACAAACUGGUUCUGUCGGGCGCAAUGUCCAUGUUGUAUUUGUAUUGCUUGACGAAAGCAUCCACAAGAUUUUUCCAGUUGCGAAUUUUUGUGUUAUCCAAUCUCAUGUACCAACUCAAAGUUGCCCCACUUAAACUGUCUUGGAAAAAGUGCAUUAGUAGUUUUUCAUCAUGUACUACCUCAGCCAUUUUAUUGCAGUAGGACCUGAGAUGAGUCAUGGGGCAUUGUGUUCCACUGUAUUUGAUGAAUUCAGGAACACGAAAUUUCUUUGGGAUAACCACGUUUGGGACCAAACACAUCUCUGCUGCCCGUACCGGGUCAUAUAAGUCUACCCUUCAAUGGCUUUGAGUCUGGCUUCCAGCGCCUCUAUCUUAGCUUGAUCAAUGCUAUCAGAUGACUUAGCCUUGUGGGACUCAUUAGCAGAUGCCUUCACAACUGUUGGGGAUGGUGCAGGUGUCGUUGACUGCACAAAUGUUGGAUUUUGCUGAGGUUCUUGACCAUGUUCGCUCAUUCUUUCCUCAGGCUGAACUGAAGUAGGAGCCGGAUCAAAGGUGAUCGGUUGAUUAGAAGGACCUUCAUCAGAGGUAUUUUUUAGUGUUUGCUUGAGUAAGCUAGUGAGGUGAGCCACACUUAUUUUCAGAGACUCCAACUCCUCGUGCAAAUAGGCAUCACGUUGAGCACGCUCUUCAUCUUCCAUGUUUCUUGCUCGAAGUCGGGUGUUGUAGACUUUUUGGGGACCUAUAUUUCAAUCUGACAUGUAUGCAUGUUAAAUGUAUGAACAUGUAAUCUAUAUGACGAACUCGCCCUUCGAGGUUUGACAUAUGGUUGCAACUCUUGUAUGAUGAAACAAGAAUCUUGAUUCUUGCACAAACUCUACAAUGAAAAUUUUCUGAGCGACGGUCAUUGUGUCACCCAAAAGUCUGGAGUUCAAGAUGCUUCAAGAAGGGCUUGCUCGGAUGCAAAACAAUGUAUACGAAGCAUACAUCCUAAAGGCUGGUUCUAAUCUUUUUAAGUGAGAUAAAAGGUAGGUUUACUACUUGGUCUCUAAAAGGGUCUCUCUUUGUCCCAGUGAUUACCCUCGUAAAGGCAAUAUAGGGGCCUAGUAGGUAAUGGGUUGGCACGUGUCCAACUAUUACCAGUCUAAGCACUCAACGAAGAGUUGGGGUUUACACAAACUUAAACCUUGACUAAAAGUCGUAAGGUAAGCUGCUAGUCCCCCUCCUAACCUGAAGCUUGUGUGUGCUUUAAAAAAGUAACUAUGUGAUGCAUGAGAUAAAUAUGUACAAAAAUUAAAGCGCACAACUAAAUAUGAACAAAUAUAUAAAGAAAAUGCAUAUUUAAAAAUAAACACGCAAACCACAACAAUAAAACACAAUCAUCAGACAAAAACAAAGCUUAGUCCACAAAGUCCCUAGUGGAGUCGCCAUUAUGUCGCACGUGUGCGGCGGCGCGGCGAUCGUCCACUCUCAAGGAUUAAAAUGGAAAAUAUUUAUUCCUGGCAAAUAGGGAGAGACAAGGAAAUUCUUGUCUCUACAAGUGAAAAUAUGGACUGGGAGUCGCCACCUAGUAUUCUGGUUACUAGGAACCUUAACUGGUCUUUAGAGAUCGGGUACGGAGACUGGUUGCGUAAAGGAAAGGUAUUAGCACCCCAACUACGCCCUACCUAAGGUAGGCUGCAUUGUUUUAAAUGUCUGAUAAAAUCUAAUCGUGUUGUGGUUUUUUUAUUGUUCGGAAUACGCAUUACAUGUAAUGUCAUACCCAGGUUCUAUUGUCCAAAAAAAAAGAAUUAAAUAUCCGGAAUAUGCAUUACGUGUAAAGUCAUACCCCGGAUACUAAGAGAAAACAAAAAAAUUUUUUUGUUGUUUUUGAAAUAUUGGCCAAUAUUCUCUUGACUUUAAUAAACUGGUUAUUAAAGCCAAAAUGCAUGCUAAAACAUUUUUUUUGGUGUAUGAAAAAUACAAUAUGAAUUUUUAGCUUUGAGACACUUGGCCGUAUGCACAAAAACAUUUUUUUUCUUUUUUUUAAUUUUUUUGUAUUUUUGUGGAAGUUUUUGACGAAAACCGGGUAUUUGAAAAUCAGAUUUUUGUAUUUUUAACAACAUAAAAAAAUACCACCAAAUAUUAAUCAAAAUGACAUAAAAAUUACGCGGAAAAAUUAUAAAAUGCUGAAACAAAUAUUUUUGAUUUUUUUCUUUGAAAUGGGCCGGAUCAGGCCCAAAUAUAUGGGCUGGGCCGAACCUGGCCCAAAGAAUGGGCUGGUUACUGUGCACAUAGUAACCGGGUCACUGUGUGUACAGUAACUGGAGAAUUAAUCUGCGGGUAAUAGCGAGUUACUGUGCACAUCAUAGUAACUCGCUAAUUAAUCUUCAUCUGCUGCAGAACGUAAACGUUCUGCAUGCAGAUGAAGCUGAACCAAAAAAACGACGGGAAAGGCUACCUGAAGCGGUGGUGAUGUUGGCAGCAACUGAUGUGGCAGGGGUGGCGGCGGCGGAACUGGCUGUUCGCGGUGGCCGGCGGUGCUGUUUUCCUCUCUCUCCCUUCUCUGUUUUACUCUCUUCUCUGCUUCUUCUUCUUCUUCUUCUUUUAUUUCGCUCUCUCUCCCUUCUCUUCUGCUUUCUUCUCUCUGUCUCUCCCUUCUCUUCUCUUCCUCCCCCCCUUUUGUCUUCUCCCUUUCCUUCUCUAUUUAUAAAGCCCGUGAGCAUGUUUUUUUCAUUAUGGAGCCAAGGAACGGGUCAUGCGGCGGCUGUCCAGGCGUGCCUCCCUCGGUUUUGGCGGUGCGGUAGGUGGUCGGCCAAUGUUUUCGGCCGGUGGGCUUGAGGGACUGGCGUCAUUAAAUAUGCAUUCUUUUUCCUUCUUUCCUGCUGUAUGCUCGGUGGGGAAGAAAGGGGAACAGUGUCGUUCAAAACGGCACCGUUUAGCCUUUUUUUUGUUUUUUUUUUUUUUUUUAUGGGGACCCAAAAAUGGGUUACAACAAAGGAUAGCCAAUUCAAUUUUGCUAGCUGCAUCUUUUUACUAUUUAGCAUCUCUUCUUUGCUUGGUACCCAAGCCAGUGCACCCUAAAGUUUUCCAAAAAAGAAGGCAAUCUCUAUCCUUCAAGAAAUGAAUAAGCAACUAAUUUAAAGUUUCUUCAUUCUUACAAUUUACUUUUAUUUGCUUCGUAUCGUAGCCAACUACCCUAUCUUAUGUAAUAAUGAUUUGCAAAGUUGGUCACACAUGCUCGGAAAUAAUAAUAAAAACCUCCUUAAUCACCCAAUUAAUCUCUUAAAAUUAAAAUGUUAUGAAAACAAGAACAAUGCUAGCAAAACUCUCAUUUAAACACUGUUUAUUUAAAUUAUCCACAUCAUCAUUAAAUUAAUUUACUUGCCAGCAACACUCUCUUAUUAUUAUUAUUAUUAUUUUAGAAUUGUGGAAGCCAACUCAUAGGGACAAGGCUAAAUAAAUAUAAAAAUUAUAAGCCAUAUAUCAAUUAAAUUUAUCUUUAAGAAAUUGGAUCUCCAAAGGUUAAAAACUUCACAAUUGAGUUCUUCCAUCCACAUUUUCUAAGAGAUUUUAUCAAGAAUGCACAUUCAAUGCAAUGAAAACGAUAUUGUUAAUGUGAAGGAAACAUGAUGUUUUUCAUUAAAAUAUUUUUCUAAUUUUGGAGAUGAAAGGAUGAAAUUUAAAUCUUUUUAAAAUUAAGGAUGGAAUUGAAAAAUAAUUCGAUACCUGAUUUAAUUGUGGUCAUGACUUGCAUCUUUGAACUUUUUAAUUCUGGAACACCCAUAUUAAUCGAUAAAUGCUGAAUCGAGUGUCGUAGUGGAAAACAUGCUGAAAUAGAAAGGAAUGAUUUUGCAUGCCGUUCAAAUCGCAAGACUUGCAUGUUCUUACGCCGGGGGUGAGUAUAGAGUCGUUGCUGGAAUAAGCGACUCCUAGAGCGGUUUCUUGUGAUGAAAUUAAGACUAUACGAUGAUAAAAUUUUACAAGCUCUCCAAAAACUUAUACAGGUAACAUUUACGAGCUCAGUGCUGGAAUGACCACUUAAGGAGGCCAUUUCUGUAAUUCUCAUAAACGAAAAAUAAUUAGGGAAGUUUAGUGCUCAAACAUCAUAUUGAUAUUCAUAAUUCCUUCUUUGAGUGUCCAGAAAGCGAUGCCUAUUGUCUAUCAAAAAAAGAAAAGGGGGGGAAAGCAACUAGUUUAAAGUCUCUUCAUUCUUGCAUCAUCUUUUUCUUACUAUUUAGCAUCUCUUCUUUGCUUUGUACCCAUGACAGGUACCAAAUUCUUGCUUGUACAUGUAACUAUGGUUUGCAAAAGCUGGGAAUGCAAGCUUUAAGUUAAAGGAGAUAGAAUUCACUUCAAAUAUUAAUUUGUAAUGCAUCCAAUACCUUUUUCUUUGCAUGCUGCAACUAAUUUAUGAUACCUUACCCAAAAUCUACUGCAGAAUUCUCUUCUCAUAAGAGUCUUUUCGCUAUUCAUUUUAAGAGAUUUUUUCAAAGAUAUCCACAUUUACCUUUUCAUCUUAGAAAAUAGUUUUUUCAAGAGUUCAUCGAGAGAACUAGUUUCCACAGUUGAGGAAAAGAUGACAAUGCUUAAAAAACUGCCUGAAGAAGUCUUCAAUUUAUGGAACAAUUGGGAGAUUCGAGGAAUGGUUUUGCUUAGUCUCUUACUACAAACCAUCCUCAUCAUGUGUGGGUCUUGGCGAAAGACCACUUGCAGAAGCUGGAUUAGGAUUCUCGUUUGGUCUGCAUACCUAUCAGCAGACGUGGUGGCAACUGUUGCAUUGGGUAAUCUAGCCAGGAGCCAAGGAGAUUCAUCAGAUGACAAUUCAGAGAAAGCAAACAAUUCCAUCCAGGCAUUUUGGGCACCUUUUCUACUCCUGCACCUUGGUGGCCCAGACACAAUCACUGCAUACUCGAUUGAAGAUAAGGAGUUGUGGUUAAGGCAUUUACUUGGUCUUGUAGUCCAAGUCGGGGUGGCUUUUUAUGUCUUCUCAAGGUCCUGGGGUAGCGGUAUCCUCUCAUUCAUAGCGAUCCCAAUGUUCGUUGUUGGCAUUGCAAAGUACGCAGAGAGGACUUGGGUGCUCUGGUCUUCAUGCUCCAAGAGUUUGAAAAACUCUUCUCUCUCAGAUUUUUGGGAUUCUUAUUAUCUUAUGAGAACUCCUCCACAAGACCACCAGCAAGAUUAUCUUCUUCAAGCUAAUGUUUUUUCUUAUAUCUCCAAGUUUGUGAUGCAGGAUCUUGUCAUUGGCAUUCCUGAACUAAUAAAAAGUAGGGAGUUGAUUUCAAAUAAUAAAGUAGGCGGUGCCUUCAAGGUGGUAGAGGCUGAGCUUGGAUUGAUAUAUGAUAUGCUUUACACUAAAGCGCCUCUGAUUUACUCCCGUGCUGGAAUCAUUCUUCGCUGUAUCAGCUCUCUGCUCUCUGUUACUGCGUUUAUUACCUUUCAGGUCAAGAUUGACAAGCAUGACUACUCAACGACCGACAUUGCAAUUACGUAUUUAUUGUUUGUGGCCGCUGUUUUUCUCGAGUUUUAUGCUUUUUUAUGCCUUGUUUUGUCUGACUGGACAAUGAUUUGGCUGAUUGGUAAAAGAGGGAACGCCCUGACUAGUACUCUUUAUUCUCUGAGAAGGAAGUUAACUAGAAGCAAGAGGUGGUCGAGAUCCAUAUCACAGUAUAACCUGGUAAGCUCUUCCAUUAAAAGACAGCCACCUAGAUGCUUGAAAUUGCUGGGAAUCGAUGAAAUGAUAAGGCAGAUGCAUGUGGAUCAGAAAGAUUUGAAUGUUGAUCUACAAGGUUUUAUUUUCGAACAUCUUCGAGAGAAAGCUCAGAAGAUUAAGAAUGAUUUGAAUGUCUGUGAUAAGAAUGUCAGAAGUAAAAUAAUAGGUCAGAGGGGAGAUGGUGUGCUCGAAAGAGAGGGACUCUUACGGGACUAUAAGUGGUGCGCGACUGAAGUAGAAUUCAGUCGGAGCAUUCUUGUCUGGCAUCUCACAACAAAUAUUUGUUAUCUUGCUGAUAGAUAUGGAAGUAAUGUCUCCACAGAAGAUGAAAGUAAUGUCUCCUCAGAGUAUAAAGCAAGCAGAUGCCUAUCUGAAUACAUGAUGUAUCUUUUGGUGAUAAGACCAAAUAUGCUCUCUAAAGGAUUCGGUGAUGAGGCAUAUCAAGAAACCUUGCGAGAAUUGUGGGGUCUAAAAGAUCGUGGUCCUAAUGAUGAGGGAUUUCAACGUGCCUUGCGAGAAUUGCACCACAGUGAAUCACCUGGUUAUGAUGAUAUAGAGUUUCAACAGCGCUGGAAAACAGAAAAGUCAGUGUUUUGCGGUGUGGAAGUGCUCGCCAGGCAAUUGCUUUCAUUGGGACCUGAUGAGAAGCGAUGGAGGAUUAUAAAUGAAGUGUGGGUAGAAAUGCUUGUUUAUGCAGCAGCUCAUUGUCCAUGGAAAGAACAUACUCAACAACUGAGAAGAGGUGGAGAGUUACUCACUCAUGUCUCCCUUCUCAUGCUACAUCUUGGCUUGAGCGAACAGUACGAAUAUACGAAUAUAUUGUAGCAGUAAAGAUUUCUGAAAGUUUGGAGGGAAGCAAGAGGGUUACAUUAUUAAGGAUCAUCCCACCGAUCCUGCAUCAGAUCACUCCACAGACUCUGCCUCAAUUCAAAUCCCAGAAGACUAGCCAAAAAUCAAGGCUCCCAACGGUUACAAUCUUCACUGCAGCAAUUAUAGCUAGCUUUCCUAAAAUGAAUGUCCGAUUCUAUGUAUAUAUAUACAGCUCUCAAUUACUUGUAAAGUGUGUGGAAAAUAAUAUAUUCAUCUUCAUCAACACUGUGUUUUUAUUCAAUAUUCAUUAUACAUAGCCUUCGAUAGACAAGGUUUUUUUUUUUUUUUUUUAAUGUAUACGUAUUUUAUUCAAGUUUUAUUGAUGGUUUCUUUAGGUUUUUUUUUUUUUUUUGUUUCAUUAGAUCGCCUUACCUGUUAAUUAAGUCACCUCAUCGAAUGAUCUUAAGAAUUCAAGUUUUCUUAAAUAUUGGUUGAAGUUUCGGAUUGAAAAAAAAAUUAUAGCAUUUAUGCCCAUGACUAAGAUUUUGAUAAAGGUGCAUUUGUUAUAUAUAUAUAUAUCUUAUAGUAUAUAAAAUAUAUAGGAACGUCAAGUUUAAAAGAAAAGGGGGGGGGGUGAUGGCCAUAUAAGUUUUGAGAUAGAUGUAAUUGGUUAUUCUUCCAAGACAGAUGUAAAAGAGAUAGAAACCUUGAUAGCAGCUUUAACUUGAUGCUUCUUGAUUAAAUUCUUAGCAGCCUGCCCUUUAGCCCUGCCAAAAAAGCUAGUUUAAUCAAGAUGGCUAUUUCACAGAAAAUGUAAAUUAUGAUUUUGCUUUCAAUGUAUGAGAUUAAAAGAUUUAUCCUGCAAGUUUAAAGGAGUGGCUAUUAGUUGCAAUCUGCUAUAAAUGAAGAAACUUCAUUGUUAGUAUAUAAUUAUCUCAUGGUGUGACCAAGUUUUUAAACUUUGGCUAAUUUGGUCAGGAAAGUGUUCUGUGUUUUGUUUUAAGUGACUUGGGGAUUCACUAAUAUCACUCUUGCUUUGAAACAUAACUUAAAUUCAUUGAAAGCAAUGGAUUAGAAGCUCAAAUGUGCUUCAAUUGAACAUGUUCUUUGAACUAGAGCAUCAUUUGUCUUUUGGUGAAUUCUUUUGAACUAGGUUCCAAUUCUUGAUACCAUUUAAGCCAAAAUAAUAAUAGCGUAAUAUUCAAUAAAUCCUCUCAUGAAAGUAACCUCCUAAUAAAAUAUCUUUUUAAGAAAAAUCCUCUAAAGAAAACCAAACCUCACAAAAUUACCAUAAGGAAUCAUGUCAAAAAAAAAAGAAAACUUCGUCAUCAAGAAAAGGAUAGCCAAUUCAAUCUUACUAGCUGUAUCUUUUUACUAUUUAGCAUCUCUUCUUUGCUUGGUACCCAAGCAGUGCACCAUAAAGUUUCCCAAAAAAGAAGGCAAUCUCUGUCUUUCAGGAAAUGAAUAAGCAACUAAUUUAAAGUUUCUUCAUUCUUACAACAUGCUCUUAUUUGCUCUGUAUCCUAUCCAACUAUCCUAUCUUAAGUAAUAAUGAUUUGCAAAGUUGGUCACACAUACUCUGAAAUAUUAAAAAAAACUCUUUUUAAUAACCCAAUCAAUCUCUUAAAAUUAAGAUGUUAUGACGACAAGAACAAUGCUAGCAAAACUCUCUUUUAAACAUUGUUUAUUUAAAUUAUCCACUUUAUCAUUAAAUUAAUUUACUUGCUAGUAACACUUUCUUCUUCUUCUUCUUCUUCUUAUUAUUAUUAUUAUGGAAUUGUUGAAGCCAACUCAUAGGGACAAGGCUAAAUAAAUAUCAAAAUUAUGAGCCAUAUAUUAAUUAAAUUUAUCUUCAAGAAAUUGGAUCUCCAAAGGUUAAAAACUUCACAAUUGAGUUCUUCCAUCCACAUUUUCUAAAAGAUUUCAUCAAGAAUGCACAUUCUAUGCAAUGAAAACAAUAUCGUUAACGUGGAGGAAACAUGAUGUUUUUCAUUAAAAUAUUUUUCUAAUUUUGGAGAUGGAAGGAUAAAAUUUAAAUCUUUUUAAAAUCAGGGAUAGAAUUGAAAAAUAAUUCGAUCCCUAAUUUAAUUCUGGUCAUGACUUGCAUCUUUGAACUUUUUAAUUCUAGAACACCCAUAUUAAUCGAUAAAUGCUGAAUCGAGUGUCGUAGUGGAAAACAUGCUGAAAUAAGAAGGAACGAUUUUUCCUUCCCAGCGUCGGAAACGUACCUGCAUCCAUGAUUAAAGAAUUAAUCUUAUGCGAAUUAAUCAUGCAGACAAACAAAAAAUAAUUAGGGAAGUUUAGUGCUCAAAUAUCAUAUUGAUAUUCAGAAUUCCUUCUUUGAGUGUCCAGAAAGCAAUGCCUAUUGUCUAUCAAGAAAAGAAAUGGGGGGGGGGGGAAGCGACUAAUUUAAAGUCUCUUCAUUCUUGCAGCAUCUCUCUUUUCUUACUAUUUAGCAUCUCUUCGUUGCUUUGUACCCAUGACAGGUACCAAAUUCUUGCUUGUACAUGUAACUAUGGUUUGCAAAAGCUGGUAAUGCACGCUUUGAGUUAAAGGAGAUAUAUCCCAGAAUUCACUUCCAUUUAUUAAUUUGUAAUGCAUCCUAUACCUUUUCUUUGCAUGUCGCAACAAUAAUAUGCAGCAACUCCUAUUUUAUGAUACCUUACCCAAAAUCUACUGCAGAAUUCUUUUUUCAUAAGAGCCCUUUCGCUAUUCAUUUUAAGAGAUUUUUUCAAAGAUAUCCACAUUUACUUUUCCAUCCUACAAAAUAGUUUUUUUCAAGGGUUCAUCGAGAGAACUAGUUUCCACAGUUGAGGAAAAGAUGACAAUGCUUAAAAAAUUGCCUGAAGAAGUCUUAAAUUUAUGGAACAAUUGGGAGAUUCGAGGAAUGGUUUUGCUUAGUCUCUUACUACAAACCAUCCUCAUCGUAUUUGGUCCUUUGCGAAAGACCAAUGCCGGAAGCUGGAUCAGGAUUCUCGUUUGGUCUGCAUACCUAUCAGCAGACGUGGUGGCAACUGUUGCACUGGGUAAUCUAGCCAGGAGCCAAGGAGAUUCAUCAGGUGACAGUUUAGAGAAAGCAAACAAUUCCAUCCAGGCAUUUUGGGCACCUUUUCUACUCCUGCACCUUGGUGGCCCAGACACAAUCACUGCAUACUCGAUUGAAGAUAACGAGUUGUGGUUAAGGCAUUUACUUGGUCUUGUAUUCCAAGUCGGAGUGGCCUUUUAUGUCUUCUCAAGGUCCUGGGGUAGCGGUAUCCUCUCAUUCAUAGCGAUCUCAAUGUUCGUUGUUGGCAUUGCAAAGUACGCAGAGAGGACUUGGGUGCUCUGGUCUUCAUGCUCCAAGAGUUUGAAAAAGUCUUCUCUCAGAGAUUUUAAGCAUUCUUAUUAUCAUCCGAGAAUAUCAAAAACUCCUCCACAAUUCCUCCAGGAAAAUUAUCUUCUUCAAGCUCAUGUUUUUUCUUAUAUAUCCAAGCUCAUGAUGCAGGAUCUUGCCCCUGGCAUUUCUUCACUAAUAAGAAGCAGGGAGCUGAUUUCCAAGAAUGAAGCAGACGGUGCCUUCAAGGUGGUAGAGGCUGAGCUUGGAUUGAUAUAUGAUAUGCUUUACACUAAAGCGCCUCUGAUUUACUCCUGUGGCGGAAUCAUUCUUCGCUGUAUCAGCUCUCUGCUCUCUGUUACUGCGUUUAUUAGCUUCUAGGUCAAGAUUGACAAGCAUGACUACUCAAUGACCGACAUUGCAAUUACGUAUUUAUUGUUUGCGGCCGCUGUUUUUCUCGAGUUUUAUGCUUUUUUAUGCCUUGCUUUGUCUGACUGGACAAUGAUUUGGCUGAUUGAUAAAGGAGGGAAUUGCCUGACUGGUGCAAUUUAUUCUCUGUGAAGGAAGUUAAUUAGAAGCGAAAGGUGGUCGAGAUCCAUAUCACAAUAUAACUCUUGCAAAAAAAACAAGCCACCUAAAUGCUUGGGAUUGCUGGGAGUCGAUGAAAUGAUGAGGCAGCUGCAUGUGAAUCAGAAAGAUUUGAAUGGUGAUCUACAGGGUCUUAUUUUCAAACAUCUUCGAGAGAAAUCUGAGAAGAUGAAGGAAGAUUUGAAUUUCUUUGAUAAGAAUGUCAGAAGUAAAAUAAUAGGUCAGAGGGGAGAUGGUGUGCUAGAAAGAGAGGGACUGUUACGGGACUACAAGUGGUGCACGACUGAAGUAAAAUUCAGUCGGAGCAUUCUUGUCUGGUAUUUCGCAACAAAAUUUUGUUAUCUUCUUGAUAAAGAUGGAAGCAAUGUCUCCUCAGAUAUUUGUUAUAUUGUUGAUAAUAAAGAUGGAAGUAAUGUCUCCAAAGAGUAUGAAAGAAGCAGAUGCCUAUCUGAAUACAUGGUGUAUCUUUUGGUGAUAAGACCAAAUAUGCUCUCUAAAGGAUUCGGUGAUGAUGAGGAAUAUAAAGAAACCUUGCAAGUCUUGAUGAUGAUGAGGAGGAAUAUCAACGUAUCUUGCGAGAUUGGCGCAACAGUGAAUCACGUGGUUAUGAUGAUCUAACGUUUCAACGUCGCUGGAAAAUGGAAAAGUCAGCGUUACAUGGUGUGGAUGUGCUGGCCAGGCAAUUGCUUUUAUUGUCGCUGGAGAAGCGAUGGGAGAUGAUAAGGGAAGUUUGGGUAGAAAUGGUAGCAUAUGCAGCAGCUCACUGUCCAUGGAAAGAACAUACUCAACAACUGAAAAGAGGUGGAGAGUUACUCACUCAUGUCUCCCUUCUCAUGCUACAUCUUGGCUUGACCGAACAGUACGAAUAUAAUGAAUUAGAUGACUAUGCUGUUAAAAUGAGACUGGUAAGUAUACCAAAAAUCCUUCUCAAGUACGUAGUUAGAUACCGCAUUUUUUUAGGCGUCAGAAUAAAAUAACUAAUCAGAUUAUUUCAAUUUAUAUAUGUUAAUUUGUUUAAUUCAUUAUUUUGGAAACAUUUAUUUAGGCGCCAGAAUAAAAUAAGAAAUCAGAUUAUUUCCAUAUCAAUGUUUUCAUUUCCUUUUCUUCAUUUUAUUAAUAAAAUGAUUUUAAUUGGAUGACAUUUAAUUUAAAACGGUUGGAUAAUGGUUAAUAAGAGGUUAUACUAAUUCUAUGUUUCCGGCAACACUCCACUUGUUAUAUAUUGCCAAAUCAAAUUUCUAACUUUAAAUUACAUCAAAUCAAUCUUGGUAUCAGCUUCAAUUCUUGAGAAAUAAAAUAAAAUAAAAUAAUAUGUCAUCUCAAUAGCUUGCUAAAUACCACGUGUUAUUAUAUAAUUAGACAAGGAAUCACAAUCUUUCUUUAUAGUAAGUAGAUGGGCACUACACCAAAGUGUUCUUAUGAUAUUAAUUAUAGCUUAAAUAUUCAUUAUCAUUUAUGAUUCUCGGAUUGUGAACGAGUCUAGUCAAUAUUAAUGCCUUCGUGCCUAAGAAAAAUUUGAAAUAAAUGAUUAAUUUUAUAUUUUUGUUUUUAUUAAUCGAUGACUAAUUGAAUUUCUUACAAUAAAUUAUUAAAUGAUGCUGCACUGCUAUCUUUAAGGAAAUCAAAGAGAAGAUGGAGGACGAGAAGGAUGAGGAGAAGGAGAAGGAGAAGGAUGAUGAUGAAUAUCUCCAGGCUAAAAAGAAAUAUUUAAAAGGUAUUGAAGACAAAAACAUGUUAGGGUUGAGUUGCGAUGAGGUAUGUUCCACUUCCAUCUCAAUACUUUAAAACCUUUCAAUUUAUAGUUUCCAUUUUUUCCCUUUUUUAAAUAACUAUCAAAACUUUCAAUUUUCCUUACAUUUCUCUUUUACUUCCUCUCACGUAUUCCCAUAUAUGUUAUUAUAUUUCAUAAAUACAUUCCCAAAAAAGAAAAGUUCAAAAACCAAUUUUAAACAGUAAGCUUUUUAAUGAUUAGGGUAACAUUGGUAAUUUUAAAAACUAGAGGGAUAAUAUUGAAAAAGUUUAAAUUAUAGGAGUAUAAGUAGAACAUUAAUUAAUCUAUAAAUACAAGAAUAAAACUUACCACAUAAUAUUUUUGUAUAUCAUAUAUGCUAUUCAAUAUAUUAAUUUGAAGCCAAGUUAUGCGACUGAUAAAUCACCAUUAAAGGCACCGUACUUGGGGAUGGCAAUGAAGGUUUAAGAUCUCCCCUUCAGGAUUGCUUCUAUAUUAAUUCUAUACUUGCAUUAACAUCCAUCAAAGCUAAUUUUCAGUUUUCCAUACUUAUCUUUACUGGAUAAAGAUUCAUACGAUUCUUGCAUGCAGUGGUGGAAUCACAAUGGAGAUUAAGGGGACAAUUGUCCCGUUAAUAUAUAUAUAUAUAUAUAUAUAUAAGAAUUUUAAUAUAAUAACUUAACAAGUUUAAAUUUUUUUAUUAAUUACUAAUUGAUCCAAACUUCUUCUUUUUUUUGAAUUAUUGUCUUCCUUUUAUAAAAUUUUUCUUCAAAUCCUAAACUAUUAAUUAGUUAAGUAAGUAAUCUUUUAUGCUUUAUGUUUUAUGUUUUAGAUGAGUUUUUUUUUUCUAUUUAUUCCAUUGUCUAAUUUUAGUUUUAUUCCUUAAUAAUUAGUUAUUAAAAAAUUUAGAGUUUAUUAUCAUUUAUAGAUUUGUUAAAUUAAUAUAUACAUGAAUAAAUAUUAUAUGCAUAUAAAUAUGAAUUGAAAUGAGUUUUGAUGAAUUAAUAUGUAUUUUGUUAUGAAUUUCACAUGAAAAAUAAUGGUGAUCAACUUACUAGUAAUUAAAAAUGAAGUACUCAACAACACAAAAAAUUAGAGACACAAUAAAAAAAAUUAAAAAAAUAUAUUAAUAUUUAUAUUUAACCCACUUGUAUAAAACAACAAGUCAACAAAUAAUUGUUGCCAAUAAUUUCACUAGUCCCUGGAAGAUUUAGAAAUAGAUAAAUGAAAGUUUAAUUGUAUAUAUUUAGAAAGAAUAUAUUUAAUAAAAUUAAGAAUAAAGUCAUUAAGAAACAGUUUUAAAAUAUAAAAACUCGAAAGAAUAAUUAUAAUAUAAGCUUUUUUUAUUUUAAAAAUAUUCUUAAAUUAAUUUUACUUGACAUGAGUUAGUACAUGUAUUUCAAAUUAAUUUCUCUAUAUAUAACACAUGUUUAUAUAGAAUAUAAUAUCAAGUAUUUAUUAGUAAUUUGCCCCCUUAUUUAAAAAUUUUUGGCUCAGCCACUGUUUGCAUGGUACAUUUCCAUUAAAGAAGUUUAUUGUCCAUAAAAAAAAAUCAAAAUACUCUACACUUAUCUCACAAAAUUAAUCUUAAAUGAUUUAUAUAAUAAUUAAAUAUACAUGUAAAUUAAAAAAUGAAGAUCCAAUAUAUAGAUCAUAUACUCUACCUAUCUUCAUAUCCAAAUCGUUUGAUUGUAUUACCUACCAUGAAAAUUAAACAAAAGCACACCCAUAGAUAUCUCCUUUCAAAUAAUGGAAGGUAGAACUCUUAGAAGUCAGCACAAUUAUCGACUCCAACCUUAUUGAUUUUUUUAUACUUGACAAAAUGAAUUUCUUAAGUAAAAAACAAGGUAGAUGGCCUGUAUUUUACUAUGGACCGGGCUAUUAUUAGAUUUUAAAGAACAAAAAAAAUCCAUGAAUCGAUACCAUAGAAAAUAGCUAAAAAAAUAAUGAUUGUAAAUUCACUAAAAUAAAAAUGUAGAUGGAUGAAAUCAUGAAAAAAAAAAUCAAUAAAAAAUAAUAUUAUAAAACAAAGCACCAACAUAACCAAGUGAGGUUGUCAAAAUCUACGAGUAGAACCAAAUGAACAUUAUAACCCAAUAUAAGGCAAAAUAGGAAAAAAAAGAAGUUUAGCUAUAAAAAGAAUUGAAUUUUGAAGGACAAAAUAAAAAAGGAUGAAAAAAGCGAUAUUAGAAAAAGCCAAGGCCACCUGGAUAAACCUCCCCCGUGGAUUAUGUGAUAGGAAAAACCUUAUUGAAAAGAAAACUGAUCAUGAAAAGAAAUUUAGAGAGCAUUAAUCAAGUGUAAGAUGACCAAAAACCUAGGUUGAACCAUGUUUCGGUUUACCAAUGGAAAAUCCAAUCAAAAUAAGGUCAUAACCCGUUGAUUCUUUUCUUUUUUUUUCAAAGUGAUAUCAUUUUGACUUUUUUUAUAUAACAUAAAAAAUUUAAUUGACUUGGGUUAACUUGAGUUAAUCUACUCAAUUUAUGAUAUUAUAAUUGUCCUAGAUUGACUCUUAGGUAAGGCGUAGAAACAAUAGAAAAAACCAAGAAGACCAAAUCUCAAUAAAUGAAAAAUCGAAUGAUGAAAUAAAAAAAUUGAAAGAUAAAAAAAAUACAAUUGAGAGAAUAAGGACCUCAUUUGAAAAAAAAAAAAAAAAGACUGAGAAGAUAAACAAAGUUUUUUGAAUUGAAUGGCAAAAUUGAAAAAAAAAUCAAAUUAACAAAUGAAUCCAAAAUAAAAAAAAUAAAAACCAAGAUAAUGAAGACCAAAUCUUAAAAAAAAAUAAAAAUUCAAGAUUAUGGAUCUAAGAAUGAAAUUGAAAACAAAUUAAAAUUUGGUAAAAAGGUGAAGGAUCAAAAUCAUAAAUCAAAACAAUGAUGACCAAACUUGAAACAUCAUUAAAUAUUGAAUUGAAAUGCAAAAUUGAAAAGAAAAAUAAAAUUCACAAAAGAAUAAAAGAAUAUAAAUUUCCAAAGAACUUAAUAAUGAUGGAAGAAAUUGUUUUUUUUUUAAAUAACUGAAGCCAACUCGAUCCAACUAUAAAAACUGGUGCCAUGGACUAUGAGGCUAGAUCACAACAUAAAAGGCAAAUCGGAAAAAAAAAUGCAAAAUCCCUAACCAACCAAAAUAAUUAGAAAUAAACUAGAAAAAAGAAAUUAAAAAAAUGCUUUAAAAAAUAUAGGCUUAAAAAGAAAGAGAACCAAAUUUGAAAAAUAAAAUAAAAUUAUAAAGGAUGAAAUUGAGAUACAAUUUCAAUAAAGAAAAUGAUAAUAACAACUAAAAUUAACAAUAAAAAAGUGAGGACCAUAUUUGAUAAAAAAAAAAUAUCAAGGGAUGGAAUUCAAAAAUAAAUUAAUUCAAUCAAGGAUUCAAGACCAAACACACCAUAAUUAAAAGAAUAAAAAUAAAAUCUAAUACAAAAAUCAAGUGUAAGGGUAUGAAAUAAAAAAAUAACUCAAUAAAUGAUUGAAGACCAAAUACAUUUCAAUUAAAAGAAUGAGAACCAAAUCAUAUAUAAAAAUCAAGUGCCAAGAGAUGAAAUUAAAAAAACAAAUUAACCCAAUAAAUAAUUCAAGACUAAAUACAUUGCAAUAAAAAAAUGAGGACCUAAUUUAACUUAACAAACAAAUAGUCAUGCUUUCUUGUUUUUUUUGCAAUGGCCAACACGGUUUUUUAGGAAGAGAGAGGGAGGGAGGGAAAAAAUCGUGGCUAAUGCUCUUCCGCGUCAUGACUGUUAACACGCACCUCACCAUCGUGAUAGGGGUGGCUAGGUGCAACAAACAUCUCCUUAAAAGGCAGCAUUCGUUGCAAUUUGGGUGUCGCAAACACCACCCAAAAGGAGCCAAAAGCACCAACUUGUUGGCUUGUUUGAAGCACGCACCAGCCACCUUCAAAUUUAAAUAAUAAUUUAUACAUAUUAAAAUACCCAAAUACCCUUGACACCACUUGAGAAUUACAACAAACCCAUAUCAAAAGGACAAAAACACCUUUGCUAAAUAUCUUAAUUUUUUUAGGGUCAAAUGGUAUAAAUGUAAACACAACGUUUUUGUUUUUGCAAAUUAUCAAAGAACCCCUUGCCCGAAGCCUAAUUUUUACACUGUAGCAAAAUAAAUAUAUCCAAACCAUUUUGUUUUUGAUAAAUUUUAUAAUGACUAAUGCAUUCUUUGAUAAAGGUAAUUGUACCUCUAAUUGCCAGCAUAACCAUUUUUCUUAAUAGAGGUAAAAGAGUAAAAACAAUAUGUCUAGAAGCACAAUAAAUCAAUGGUGUCUUUUUAAUACCUUUUUUUUGUAAUAUUGUGUCUAAUAAAAAUUUAGAAUAAAUGAUUAAUAUUAGAUAUUUGUUUUUAUUAAGUGAUGAGUACUUGAAUAUCUGAUAAUAAAUUCAAUUAAUAUCACAAGGAGGAGGAGGAAGAAGAAUAUUUCCAAGCUGAAGAAAAAUAUAUGGAAGGUACUACAAUUAUGUCAGGGUCGAGUCCCGAUGAGGUAUGUUCCACUUCCAUCUCGAUACUUUAAAACCUUGUUUUUGUUUUUGCAAAAGAUAAAAGAGCCUUUUGCCCAAAGCCUAAUUUUUCCUGUUUUCAAGUGCAAAUCAGUUAUGAUAUUUUAGCAAAAGAAACAUGUCUGAACCAUUUUGUCCUUAAUAAAUUUUAUAAUGACUAAUGCAUCUUUUGCUAAAGAUAAUUGCACGUACCUCUAAUUACAAACAUAAUAUUUUUUUAAUAAAGAUAAAAGAGUAAAAACAAUGUGUCUUUUUAGUAUAUUUUUUUAAUAUUAUCCUACGAGGUUUUCUCUCUUUUUUUUCAAAGGAAAAGACAAAUUUAUGACCUGUAAAUUUUCCAUGCUUUGCACUUUGCCACUCUUUCUCUUCCGCUAAAUUCUAUGGCCAAGGUCUUUAAUAGUCUGUCAUCUAACUAAUAAUCUUAAUAUUAUAAGCUAUUUUUUAUAUUCACGUUGUGUUGUUUUAUUUUCUGAAAUACCUUAUGUACAUUUUCUUUAUCUAGUGUUGCAAAAGUUUUUACACCACACAUUCUUUUAUUUAAACCUUGUUUUUUUUGCGAUUUAAAAAUAUUUUUCAAAAAAUAUAUAUUUUUUUAUUUUUCUUUACUUUAAAUUAAUUUAUUUUUGUAUUUCUAGAUUAUUUUAAUGUGCUGAUGUCAAAAAUUAUUUUUUAAAAAUAAAAAAAAUAUUAUUUCAAUAUAUUUCCAAACAAAAAAUAUUUUAAAAAACAAUUAUUAUAACACUCACAAACACCCCUUAAUCAAGGUUGCAAUUAAUUUGCAUACUUCAAACAACAUGCAUGCAUUGAAAGAACUUGAAAUUAGUAGCAAGAUUGUACUUAAUUUGGUAGCAAGUUUUAAUCAAUUAGUAUCUGGAAAUUAGUCAAAUUACCUCCUCUAUAUUUAUUGACAUGAGAAAUUAAAUUGAAAUUCAUGACACUCCUAAUUUCUAUUUUGAAAUAAGAAUAAUUUGCAUAGAUUAAUCAAUUAUUUGUUUAUUACUAAUGUCGAGUUAACAAUGUUGCUAUUUUGAAGAGGUUGAAAGAACUUGAAAAGAUUGUGACGAAUACAAAGCGAGAUCUUGAGCGUGUGGUAGAUACAAAACAAGAUCUUAAGCGUAAAAAACAAGAGCUUAAGCGCAAAAGGCGAGUGCUUAAGCGCGAAGAGCGAGUGCUUAAACGCAUGCUUGAGCAUAAAAAUCAAGAGCUUGAGCAACUGAGAUCUUCUUUAACUACAUCAACUCCACAACAAGGAAUUAGUUCACUUACAAGAAGUUUGCCAGCACAAACUGAUGUUCAAGGGACUAGUCAACCACCAUCAAAUAAUGAGAUCAUUUUAAGCAUGGAAUAAAGAGUAGUAGCUUUUGUUAUGUUGUGUCCAUAAUUAUUUAAGUGAAUUAACUUAAAUAAAUUAGUUCCUAAUGGCAAUAGUACUGUUCGACUUCAUUUUGCAUGCAUGUAUUGAAAAAAUUGCAUUGAUGGCUGUUAAUUAGUGAUUGUGUUUAAUUGUAUUUAUAAUUUACCUUUGCUUUAAAUUGUUCAAGCUCUUGGGUGGACUAUCAUCCCUUAGUCAGCCUUUGAAACGUAAUUACCUAGUGUUGAACUUACUAAUUGCAGAUUUGUGGAAGAGCCAUCACAUUAUCAUGUGCUUAUGAUAACCCAUUUAGCUUCUUAGACUAGUUCAGGUACUUAUUUAAAAAUUAAAAAGUUUUUAUGAGGUUAAUAUAUCAAUUUAAGUCUGAUUUCAAUGUACUCUUCUUAUGGCCUGUUCAUAUUGCAUAUUCUAAUAAUACCUCGUUGGUCCUUGCUGGGCAGGGGAAUGAUGUGGGAACACAGUACAGGUCUGGAAUAUACUAUUACACCCCUGAGCAGGAGAAAGCAGCGAAGGAGUCCUUGGAACGGCAGCAGAAGCUCUUGAACAGGAAGAUAGUCACUGAGAUUUUACCUGCCAAAAAAUUCUACAGAGCAGAAGAAUACCACCAGCAGUAUCUUGCGAAGGGUGGCCGAUUUGGAUUUAUGCAAUCUGCUGAGAAAGGAUGCAAUGAUCCAAUCAAAUGCUAUGGCUAAGUCCUUAACCAUCAUUUAGAGGCAAACAUCGUCCUAGGUUAAUUAUUCUUGUCCUGAGACUUUACCUGUUUAUAUUGAUAAACCUAAGCUUUUGUGUGCUAGGCUAUGUUGUGAGUGCCAUAUGUGCUUAGCUUCCAGGAUACAGAUAUCUGGAUACCAACGUGUUUGAUGGCCGCGUGCUCUACUGUUUUUGUAAAGGUAGUUUGGGCAGAAUGGUUGGUAUAUGAGAAAUAAAGUUUUUCUAUAGUUUAUUUUGCUCUUCUAGU